rnacentral:rRNA from 1 species
UACAGAGGGUGCGAGCGUUAAUCGGAAUUACUGGGCGUAAAGCGUGCGUAGACGGUUAUUUAAGUCGGAUGUGAAAGCCCCGGGCUCAACCUGGGAAUUGCAUUCGAGACUGAAUAGCUAGGGUACGGUAGAGGGAAGCGGAAUUUCCGGUGUAGCGGUGAAAUGCGUAGAUAUUAGCUAGAACACCAGUGGCGAAGGCGGCCAACUGGUCCGAUACUGACGCUGAGGUGCGAAAGCGUGGGGAGCAAACAGG